rnacentral:ncRNA from 1 species
UAACCCCCUCCCCCGUCAUCACGCCCUGAAAAUAAGCAAUUGAUGAGUAAUAUCGCGCAUGGAUGCGCGAUAAGGCGAAACUAGGCCAUGGAUGGCCUAUCUUCGCCGUUUACGUUCACAUCAAUUGUGGUUUAAAGGAUUAAGUGUGAUGCUCGGGUGCGCUGGGA